rnacentral:lncRNA from 10 species
GCCCUGGGCUUCCUGGCGGCCACGAGCUCCGGCUCACCUCCCGCUCUGAGGAGCCGCGGACCCUCCAGCAGACCCAGGUCUGUUCUCUGCAAUUAGUUAUCUUGCAGUUGAGCCCCUCCUGGACAGUUGUCCCUGAAAAGAGAAAAAAGACAAACGCAGGAUGUAAAGCCCUUUCUAAACUCUCAUCUUCUGUGUAAAUGGUAGGAAGCGGUGCUCACUGUCUGUGGGGGUUAAAGAGGCAUGUUAGCCACGGUGGGGGGACUCUCUUGGGCUGCAUUGCUGGCGCAGGCCCCCUCCAGGCACGUCCUGGCUGCAGGUCCCCAGAGGGGAGUUUCCUAGUCUGGGAGGGUAUUCCCAAAGCCCAGAAGAAGCCUCUCUUCACAACAUUCCCAGGAAACUCUUCCCCCAUCCGUGGGUGCCUCUCAUCCCAGCUGCUCUAAUUAGACAGGAGACGUCAGCCCAGCACCUCCUGCCCCUCCUUCUCCAGCCUGAGCAUAGAAGGCAGGAUCGAGCCAGGUUAUGGGGUGAAAAGCCAAGCCCGGGCUCUCAGACAGAAGCUGCUUUGCCGUUUGGCCUCAUCCAACUCAGGCAACGACUCCCAGUUGUUCCUCGGAUAACACGGAGCACGGCGAGGUCAGAGGAAGGGGAGCGGAGUCCCGCCUGCUGGCCGGCUGCCAGGCGGAGCUGGAGCACCUGGGCACCACAUGUGCCCUCUGCUCGGGGACCGCUGUUGACCCGACAGGCGCACGUUCCACACCCACACCGUCGCUGCUUUGCUCAGAGGGACCAGGGCUGGAGGCCGAGCUGAGACAGGCCGGGCCGGCUUCCUUUCCGCUGCCCGCCUUUCUCCUCUCUGCACCGCCCAGACCCGUGCGUGGCACCCCUUCCUGCCUGGCAGUGCAAAGGAGCGGCUGCCCGACCUCCGCUUGGUGAUUGCAGCAGCAGAUCCUGGUGCCCGUGUGGGUUCCUCAUGCCUCGGUAUCUCUGCUGGAAUUCAUCUGGGAGAAGCCACAGGAAGAGAACUCCGUUCUCAUGAGCAGGUGGGGUUGGGCCAUGUCACCGGCCGUCCAUGUCAUGGUUGGUCCACAGGGUCCCUGGACACAGACACUGGAGAGCUCCCCCGGGGCCCACAGCAGGACUUUCAACUGGCAAACCCACCAGUGUCGUCAUUAGAGGAAGAGCCGGCUGCUGGGCACAGAUGAGGACCGGUGGGGGCCAGGCACGAAAGCCAAGCUAGCCACACGGGCAGCCAACACGGCCCAGCCCGGCAGCCCCAUGCAGGAGGCUCUGGAAUGGCAGUGAUGCCCUCUCAGCCAGGACUGUCCAGACCAGGGGGAUGAAGGCAGCCAGGGUUGCCUCAGGUCCGUUUGUUAUUCUUUUUUUGAGACAGGGUGUCACUCUGUCACCCAAGCUAGAAUGCAGUGAGGUAAGCACAACAUGCUUCAACCUUGACUUCCCAGGCUCAAGGGAUCUCCUGCCUCAGCCUCCCAAGUAGGUGAGAUUACAGGCACACACCACAGUACGUGGCUAACUGUUUUAUUUUUUUCUAGAGAUGGGGUCUUGCUCUAUUGCCCAGCCUUGUCUCAAACUCCUAGCCUCAAGUGAUCCACCCGCCUCAGCCUCCCAUUCCUCUUGCUGGGAUGAGAGUGGAAGCCCCCAUGCCUGGCCUGUUUGUUAUUUUAUUUUUAUUUUUUAUUUUUUGAGAUGGAGUCUCACCGUGUCUCUCAGGCUGGAGUGUAGUGGCGCAAUCUCAGCUCACUGCAACCUCUGCCUCCCGGGUUCAAGCAAUUCUCCUGCCUCAGCCUCCCAAAUAGCUGGGACUACAAGCAUGCACCACUACACCCGGCUAAUUUUUGUAUUUUUAGUAGAGACAGGGUUUCACUGUGUUGGCCAGGCUGGUCUCGAACUCCUGGUCUCAAAUGAUCCACCCACCUUGGCCUCCCAAAGUGCUGGGAUUACAGGCAUGAGCCACCACGCCCGGCUGCUGCUCACUUUAAAAUAGUGAAUUUUAUAUCAUGUGAAUCUAACCUCAAUUUAAACUCUUAGAACGACAUUCCCUGAAACUAAACUAAAAGAGUAAAUCGGUAUGUGUUUAUUGAUCAGAAUUAAGAGCAUCUUUCUUUGAGCGGAACUUCACCUGAAUCUCUCCUAGACAAAGGGAAGCUUUCUUCUCCCAAGACGCCGCCUGGCUAACCUCAGUGCCUCAGUCACAAACUUCUUCCAAGUGUAAAUGUGCGUUUGGAGAUCACGCUUGCUCUUUCUCUGGCUUGUUUCACAUUUGAGGAAUGAAAGCUGUUUGCAGCA